ACCAUCGGUCCCUCAUCUCUUGGGGCAUAAUCAAUGCGACUUACGAGUUCUUGUUAAAGAUUAUAUGAAAGAAGUCAGUUAAGUGCCAUUUAUCACUUGAAUAGACCUUCUAAGAAGAAUGUGGUUUGGCCUCAUUCCUAAUUGGCCAGGACAGUUGGUGUCCAGGGCACAAGGAAUUACGGGCACAGCUGUUUCCCUUAAGCACCAACGAAUCAGAAUAAAAGGUUUCAGCAGGAAAAGUUGAGGGAUUUGUUUUGUUUUAUUGUUAUCUGAGAACUUGAGGCUCAUUGCCUGGUUAAUAGCUGUCCAUCUGAUGGCUUUUGACAAGGAAACUAAUAGCCAAGAUUUUAUUUUCUUCUUCAAAAGUCUUUAAACUUUCUGUAUUGAAACGUAAGUGGCCAUGAGCAGCCGGAGGAAAGGUGUUUAGGGCCCGCUGAAUUCUCAGGCUGACCUCCGUUACUCCGUUUCGUCCUCCUCCGCCCUCAGGUGAGCUGCAGAGUAGGCUUGAUUCACCUGGAGCGUGUGCGUGGUAGGACCGGGGGAACAGCAACGAGAAGCAGCUGGCAGGUGUAGGCGUUUCAUGAUAAAUUGCUUGUGUUAGUUUUGAAACUAGGCACCUGUUGGGAUAGUCUUUAUCUAAACUUUGUUUUUUAGACAUGGUCGAUGCAAGCAGCGAAUGAAAGCUCCCAGUUUGCCUUCUAGGUUUGAAAGUUUUUUGUGUAAUUCUGAAUGUGACCUUAAACCCUUCCAAAAUAUCCUUCCGUUAAUUUCACUUAUUUCAUUGCCAAAAGAUGGAGAGACUUAAAUUUUGUUACAGGCAUUUCACCCCGUUCAGUUUCAUAUUAAUUGCAUAUAAAUCAAACUCGGUGUAGCUUGGUUUCUUUGAUUGUUGCCAACUUAUCGAAGAGGUUUUUUUUCUUUGAGUAGCAGUUUGUCAUGUUCAAGUAUCCUGUUCUCUUGAAAUUCUCCUUUUAAAAGAAGGAAACCACUUUCAUAAAAUUUUAUUUUGGAAGUCUGUUAACAGGAGCCCAGAUUUUUCUGGUUUCUAAAUUUUCCAGGGGAGGGGAGAACUCAGGGCACCUUUCACUCCGCGGUGUUAGCCGUCUUUUUUUUAUUUUACUCUUGGAAAUAAAGACUUCUAGGAUUUUUAUAUUUUGGACAGAUACUCAUCCCUCACCUCACAGACCAACGCCUACUUAUCAAAGGAAUCAGGGUUCACAAUGGUUUUUCCAGACAAAUGAGGCAAAAUGACUCAUACAUCGAUUGAGUAACUAAUAAAACAUACGAAGCAUCCUAGAAAAGUGGUUCG
rnacentral:lncRNA from 1 species